rnacentral:rRNA from 1 species
CACGUAGGCGGAUAUUUAAGUCAGGGGUGAAAUCCCAGAGCUCAACUCUGGAACUGCCUUUGAUACUGGGUAUCUUGAGUAUGGAAGAGGUAAGUGGAAUUCCGAGUGUAGAGGUGAAACUCGUAGAUAUUUGGAGGAACACCAGUGGCGAAGGCGGCUUACUGGUCCAUUACUGACGCUGAGGUGCGAAAGCGUGGGGAGCAAACA